AAUAAGUGCAGUUUUGCACUAUUUACGUUCAACGUUUGACCGUCCGUCUUAUUUGAAAAAUUUGUGAAAAAAUUAAAAACAUUUAGUCACACAUAAAGUACUAUUCAUGUUUCAUCAUCUAAUAGCAAUAAAAAUACUAAUCAUAAAAAAUUUUCAAAUAAGACGGACGGUCAAACGUUGAACAUGAAUAGUGCAAAACUGCACUUAUU
rnacentral:pre_miRNA from 1 species